CGUCAUCGUCGACGACGAGGGUGACGAUGGUUACUCGGGUGAGCCGGAGACCACCGGUGUUUCCGAAGCGGUCGUUCAACUCGUCGGUGACGC
rnacentral:tRNA from 1 species